UACAGAGGGCUCAAGCGUUGUUCGGAUUCAUUGGGCGUAAAGGGUGCGUAGGCGGCGCGGUAAGUCGGGUGUGAAAUCUCGGAGCUUAACUCCGAAACUGCGUUCGAUACUGCCGUGCUUGAGGACUGGAGAGGAGACUGGAAUUUACGGUGUAGCGGUGAAAUGCGUAGAUAUCGUAAGGAAGACCAGUGGCGAAGGCAGGUCUCUGGACAGUUCCUGACGCUGAGGCACGAAGGUCAGGGGAGCAAACGGG
rnacentral:rRNA from 1 species